rnacentral:sRNA from 1 species
AUUUAGCAAGUAUGCCCGCGUUAGGGAUUGAAGCGGAAAGCCCACAGGGACGCAGGAGCGAGGACUUGCAGCAAAAAGCCCGACCCGAU